rnacentral:rRNA from 1 species
UACGGAGGGUGCGAGCGUUGUCCGGAAUCAUUGGGCGUAAAGGGCGCGUAGGCGGCCAAGCAAGUCCUGGGUGAAAUCCCUCGGCUCAACCGAGGAACUGCCUCGGAAACUGCAUGGCUCGAGGCCGGGAGAGGGUAGCGGAAUUCCCAGUGUAGCGGUGAAAUGCGUAGAUAUUGGGAGGAACACCGGUGGCGAAGGCGGCUACCUGGACCGGUUCUGACGCUGAUGCGCGAAAGCGUGGGGAGCAAACAGG